rnacentral:lncRNA from 1 species
GUUUCCUUUUCAUCUUUCUCGUUUUGGUUUGAGCUUGAAUAGACUCACUUAUCAUUACACCUUCUUUUCUUAGUGAUGUGAAAAUAUAUAAGCACACAAAUUAAACCUUUUUUUGACAAUUGUAGUAUAUAUGUAAGUAGGGAUCGUUCUUAAACCGGAGAUUAGAAGGGAUUGCUAAAACACUUUAAACUGACUCAAAUAGAUAAAACUAAGCUUUAAAACACUUUACUAGACUUAAAAGACUCAAAACAAGUUCACAAGACUCAAAAUAAGCUAAAAACACUCAAAACUGCCUAAAAACACAAACUGGACAGUUUCUGACUCUAAACACAAUUUUGGACGAAAAUUAGUUUUAACUUGACUCAAAACACUUAAAAACACAAUCUAAAACAAAUCCUAACUAGUUAGACACUCUAAAGUAAAUGGGGAUUUGGUUUUGGACGAAAAUAAAGUAAACAAAACAAGAACUAAAACUAGGCAGAUUUGCACGAAUUUGGUGGAAUAAGAUGGAUGAUGGGCUAGCUAGGAGGUCUUUCUCCACACAUAACAUACUUGCAUACAAAACAAUUUCCAGUUGCUUUUUUAAUGAACCAUGAACCUCAACACCCCAAGUUAAUUAGGUACGCUUAAAUUAACCCUCAGAUUUUCCUUAAGUCAUUGAAUUGAAUGGAAUUGGCGCAUCGCAAUCAAAUUAUUCCUCAAAAGUUCCCUACAUGAAAGCGCAUAAUAGAGAAACAAUCAAAGAUUAUUAAGUUCUAUGAAAAUCAUAAGUGUUGACAAGGCAUUCGUAACUAUGAAAGCGCAUGAUACUUAUGCCAGGAAUUUACUUAACAUGAUUGUGACUAACAACCUUUACUACUUAUGAAUAUAAGUUCAUAACGAUUAGGUGAAACUCCCUUAUAUCCUAGCAUCAGAUUUAUGCAUGCAAAUUAAGUGUGCACUCUCAACUCACAUACAUAAACAAGUUUUAAUUCAAACAGAUAAGUAAAUUGAAUUCACAAUUCAUGAAAUCACAACUGGAUGUAAUCAAAUCGUAUUGCAAAUAUAGCCAUGGUUUCGAAAUUCCCCCUAGCUAAGAGGGGUUUAGUUCCUCAUACUCACAAAACAAAGAUUAUUGAAUUUAAACAUUGAAAACAAAAGAAAGAUUACACCUAAAACGUUCCAGCAACUCCAAUUAGAAUGGCAAGCACGUCCAAGGGCUCUCCUCCUUCUUCCUUGCUGUGGCAUAAGGUGUGGUUGGUGGUUUUAUUGGUGAUGGAUGGUGUAUUCUUGUGUAGGAUGAUGAAUGAUGGCUGAUGAGGGUGAAAGGUUGCGGCUGAAUGUGUAUGGAAUUGUAUGGAUCAAAUGAAUGAUGUAGAAUGGUGUCUAGGGUUGCGGCACAAGGGUUUCUGAAUGGUAGGGGGUGGUGACGAAUUUUGGCUGAAAAACUUAUAUUUAUAGGCUAGGGUUUUGUAGAAAAAGGCUUGGUCUAAUCCAAGGUGGAAAAGAACUAGGGUUUGUGGCAGAUUUUUAGGCUUCUAGAAAGAGAAUAGGCGCCACUUUUUUAGGCUUCUAGAAAGAACAUGUUUUGUGGCAGAAAUUGGGACUUCUAGAAGGGUUUGGGGCGCCACCUUUCUAGGGCUUCUAGAAAGGUAGAUGCAGCAUGUGUUUAAGGGAAGAUAUAGGCCUUCUAGAAGGGUUUUAGGUGCCCUUGCAGCUGAUUAUUCAUCUUCCAAGUCUUGAAUUGAUUUCUCCAUCUCUUUAGCACGUUCUUAGCUUCACUUGAUCUUCAAAAACAUCCGUUCCUUGUGCUCCACAUGCAUGCAAUCCAUUCCAGCCCAUAAUUGCUCUAAAAUGCUUCAAAAUGCACUUUCUUGCCAACUUUGCCAAUUAGACCUACAAACAAACGAAAAUAGCUUAAAUCACUACAAUAAACACAAAUUAACUAUGAAAAUGCAAGAAAACAAGCUAACUAAGUCGCAUAAAUAUGCUCCUAUCACUUAGUUAUUUGAAAAUGCCCAACGUUGGAGCUACCAUUUUGGUUUCUACAACAGUAAGUUGUUGUUUACAGUAACUUAAUUUCUUAAAGUGUUGAUGGGAAUGUACUUAUGUAAUUGGUCAGAUUCAGACUAGGUUCACUAGUUUGUGCCGAUUUCCUUUUUCGGGAAUGUGAAUCCUUUAAACCAGGAGGCCUGCCACGCUAUAGGGUAGGAGCAGGUGAUUGGCUAGCCGCCAAUGUACCUUGCCAUGUGGGAGGUGAGGCCACCCCACCCUCAAGGACGGAUCGGCCUUCCACAACGGUGUUACGGCAUACGAUCGAUACGUCCAUUCUUACAAGUACGUUUGCAGCGGGUAUAUGUGAUCCAAUCACCUUCGCUAGAUCAGUAAAAGCAUCCAACAUGGUUUGAGCAAUGCUCUGAAGAUCUAGAAUGCAUCUUACUUCAGUUUCAGACUGAGGCGUGCGGGGAUCUAAAUGAGACAUAGUGGGAGUAAUCCACGACAAUAAUUAUAACAUACGGGUUAAAAUUAUUUAAAAUGCCAAAAAUUAGCAUUGGAUCGAAAAAGGAUAGCCCAAAAAAUUGAGGCUUGGGUUCAGCUGCAAAUAGGCAGCCCACAGAUGGUUGCAGCCCACGGGUUUAGAGAAUUGGGUAAGUCCAGCAACCAAGGCUGCUGGCAUUGGGCCAAAGGGGCGCGCAUGGACAAGCCCAGUCGAAGCUGGCUUGUGGGUUAUCACAUGGAAGACCCAGCCGAAGCUGGAGCCUAGUCUUUGGGCCGGGGGAAGAAGCCCAGCCAUAUGGGCUGGCUGUUUGCUUGCGAGCCGGGCAAGAUCAAAGCCCAGCAAGCUACGGGCUGUGCUGAAAUAGGCUUGAGUGGGCCAGGGCUUCAGGCCCCUGUCAGGGGACAAGCCCAACAUGCUUAUGGCGUGCGGGUUUGGGCUGGAUUAGUUCGGGCUUCAGGACCAUGUAUCAUACAACCCAAGCUGAAGCUUGGUUGAGUCCAAGGGAUGCAACAAGCCCAGAGGGCUGCGUACAAGGUCCAAUGACACCAAAACGAUGUCGUCCCACAAUUUGUCGCCACACGGCUGGGCUACAGGCCAACACGGUGGUGCCGCAAUUUUCCCUUUUUCUUCUUUUUUUCUUCUUCGAAUAUCUAGGGUUAAAACCCUAAUUACUUCUAAAUUAAUUUUGAUUCUUUGACUCACAAUUCCACAUAGCAUAUAUGCGUAAUGCAUGAACAAUUAUAUAUAUUGACAAAAUAUAUGAACAUAUAUACGAUAUAUAUAAUUGGAAGGAAAAUAUAAAUAUAAGGGGUUCAUGCAUCAAGGUUUUUUUCAAAUAUCUUAAUUUAUUUUAGAAGAACCUGAUUGGGAGAAAACGAUUGAAAGCCCUUGAAUUUGUAGAAGAUAGACUCCUUCUACGAUCCUUCAUCCCUUAGCUUUUGGCAAGAGCGUGCUGAUAACGUGUUGUAGGCCUAUUUAACUGAGCUAUCUAAGGACUAAAGAGAGGGGGCCGGCAGCAACAAGAGAGAAAGAGAGAGAUUUAAUUAUGAGAUAUGUGUUGUAUCACCCCCUUAUGUCUUUAUUUAUAGUGGUAGGAUGGGUAGAGUCCUUACCUUUUUAGUAUUACAUCUCUUAAUAGGUGAUCAACUCCUAAUGGUAACUACAAGAUACUCCUAGAUAUACUAGGAUUUACAUAAUCACAUUCCUAAUCUGAUACAACUGCAACAAAUAUGAAGAAAAAAAAUGGUAUUAAUAUUGCGUGGCUUCCAUGCGUUCCUCACAAAUGGGAAAAAUAGAUGUAAAAAAAAUAAAUACACUAACCUAAAAGUUAGCUUACUCAUCAGUCUAAUAUGGAAUGUAAAUUGGGGGUAGCAAUGUACUCAAUAGGUUUAAAAUUGAAGAAAUAAAAUAUUAAACAAAUGCUUAUGGUUUUUGAUCUUUAAUCUAACUUUCUAUUGAGGGGAAACAACACAUGUGAAUAAAGCAAAUGUUAGUCAAUGGUGUUGGGUCUUUUUUCUAACUUUCUAUUGAGGGAAACAACAUAUGUGAUUAAAGCAAGUGAUUUAAUGAUUUAUAUCUUAGGGACUAGGCUAGUCUUACCAUAGUAUACUUUAAAUAAUAUCGUUAAUAAUACUAAUAUAGUAUGAGUGUAAUCGUGUAAUAAGACAAUCUUAAAUUCUUAAUAGAAAGCAUAGCUGACAGAUAAGAUGCAUAUAUACCUUCCACCAAAUGCAGAAAAAAAAAUAGAGAUACAAUGUAUUCAUAUCUCGAUACACUAAAAUGGACAUGAUUCAUAUCUAUUCCAUAAAGAAUGCAAAUAUUCCACAUUUUUCGAAUAACGUAUAUUCACAAUAUGACUUGGGCUAAAAUGAAGUCCUGUCUAAUUCACAUUCGCCAUGUGGACAUGACGUGACAAAAUAAAAUGAACCUGGGCUAAAAUCAAAUAACAUGACGCCCACAAAUAAUGAAUGAUAUCGAGCCAGCCCAACUGUAAGGUUAUGGGGUCAAAUAACACAAGUCUCACACUUGGUCAUAUCCAUCCAACCUAAAACAAUGUUCCAUCACAGUUGGAGGUUGUGGGUUUGAACAAUGCAACUCUCACACUUGGUCUAUAAUUUUACAAAAUUAAGGCGUUUUUUAAGAUGCAAACUUUGCGUGCGACCUUGCAUUAGAAACGCCCUUAGAAACGCCUACAAAAUUGAAGUUGAACUUGAAACAAAUCCCUCCCAGUUGCAUUGCACCAUUCACAGUCAUAAAGCAGAACAGAACGCCGGCCGGCACGGCCUCCAUCGAAUCCUUCUCCUGCGGGGGUCUCUUUCAUCUCUGGUAAUUUCUACAACAAUUAAUUAAAUCUUUAAUUAAUAAUCUAAAUCAGUUUCUAUGAUGAUUAUAUAUAUAUAUAUAUAUAUAUAUAUAUAUAUAUAUAUAUAUAUAUAUAUAUACGCGCACAACCCCAUGUAUAAUUGAACCUUGCUUCCAAAAAUUAAUCAAAGUUUUGAUCUAAAAUCUUAAUCGGUGUCCUGUAUAUGAUUUUUUUUUCUUCUUAGAAAUCUUAAUUAAAAAGUUUUAUAAUUUGUCGUGUAAGGGAGAGCGCGAGUAGUGUUGCAGCAGCAAAAUGAAAAUGGGACAAGAUAUGUUGGUGAAAAUCCUGCUAACUCUGCCCCCCAAAACUCUGAUGCGAUUCAAAUGUGUCUCUAAAUGGUGGUUUGCUCUCAUCAACAAUCCGGGUUUCGUGUCAAAGCACCUCUCCAACUCUGCAAACAACAAUCUCACCACUCUCCACGUCUUUUUGGCACGAUUAGUAGUGCAGCGGCAACAUGAGGAGGAGGAGGAGGAGGAGGAGAACCCCAAGUGUAACAGCACCACUAAGAAGGAGGAGACUCCAGAAGUAUUAUCAAUUCUUGGGUUUUGCAAAGACGACGAUAAUACUGAUGACGAGCAUAGCAAUAGCUGCUCUCUUGUUGGUGUCCAGGACAUCAUUAUUCCUCAAUCUUUUAUUCAAAAGAUCAGAGUCCCGGAACAACCAUUUUGUAUCCUAGGCCACUGCAAUGGCAUUGUUUUACUAUCUAGUGACAGUAGCCUAGUUUUAUGCAAUCCCGGACUUGGGGAAUUCAAUCGUAUUCCCGAUGAGCCAUGCCUUCCAUUGUGGCCCUUGGACCUGCCCGAUGAUCACGAUGGGCAAGAACAUAUGGAAACUGGUUUUCAUAUUGGAUUUGGCUAUGAUCCCGUGUCUAAUGAGUGCAAAGUUGUGACCUUUACUACUUAUUUUCAAGAGGUAGAUGAAGACUGCCGGACUUUUCUUAGUCGGCACAGAGCAGUAGUAUACACCACGGGUUGUGAUUUUUGGGAAGAGCUCAACACAGAUUCUUUAGAAACCGAAACUACUUUGUUUUGGCCUGAGUAUUUCCAGAUGCCCUUCAAGGGAAUGUGUUAUUGGCUGGGAUAUGAGCAAGAUAAGGAAUUAUUUCCAUUUGACGCAGUUGAGCAUCGAUUCCGUGCGAAUGGGGGAUUGAUCAUUUCCUUCGAUGCAAGUCGUGAGGUAUUUCACGGUAUACCCUUUCCAUCUGAGCUCCAACCGUUAAACCGGUCGGAUCACCUUUAUACGAAGCUUACUGUUUGGAAUGAAUCAGUUGCUUUUUUUGCCCUUGGUGUGAACGAUCGUCGAUAUCCUGAACCUUAUGAAAUGUGGGUGAUGGAUGAUGACUUUAAGGGUGCUUGGACAAAACACUUUACUAUUGAGGGCACAGAUGAUCAGAUACGUAGGUCUAGUCCUGUGGCGUUGUGGGGCGAUGAGUGUCUUAUGGUUGACAGUGAUGGGCACGUAGUUUUCUUUAAUCUUUGUACCAAAAAGCUUAAGCACACUCCCAUUGAAACAGUAGAUAAUAAUAUUGUUGUUUAUGUGAAUAGCAUAGUUUCGGUCAUGGGACGCAGCCACAAGCUUAAGAGCAUAGAGAAUACUUGCUCAGAUAAAGAUGAAGAUGCGAUGGUGGUGGUAGACGGGAAGAGGGAAAGCUGCCGGAGGUUGUACUCAUAUUCGAUUUGGGCCAUUCCACCGGCUGAUGUUUCUCGUAGAAUCAAGAAGCUGAUGGAGAGCCUCCAGGCAGAGUUUGGUGGGCCGGAGAUUGAACCUCACAUCCCCAUCUUGGGAUCUAUCCAGAUGAUGAGUCGGGAGGAUGCCCUUAACAAGUUUAGAUUUGCUCCUAUGGAUGACAUCGUUGCUAAAGUUGAUCGGGUGAUUACUAAGAAUUACUAUUACCAGUGUGUUUCACUAUUGAUGAAUCGAAAGGUAUAUAUUUUGUCGAUCCCUUGUUAAUACAUAUUCAUUUUCUUGAUGUUUUGUUUUGUUUUGUUUUGUUUCCUUUUCAUCUUUCUCGUUUUGGUUUGAGCUUGAAUAGACUCACUUAUCAUUACACCUUUUCUUAGUUAUUUGAAAAUGCCCAACGUUGGAGCUACCAUUUCGGUUUCUACAACAGUAAGUUGUUGUUUACAGUAACUUAAUUUCUUAAAGUGUUGACGGGAAUGUACGUAUGUAAUCUGCGUGUCUGAAAUAUUUGAUGCA